rnacentral:rRNA from 1 species
GCAGUACGUAUCGGAUUACUGGGCGUAAGCGUGCGCAGGCGGUUUUGUAAGUCUGUCGUGAAAGCCCCGGGCUCAACCUGGGAAUUGCGAUGGAGACUGCAAGGCUUGAAUCUGGCAGAGGGGGGUAGAAUUCCACGUGUAGCAGUGAAAUGCGUAGAGAUGUGGAGGAACACCGAUGGCGAAGGCAGCCCCCUGGGUCAAGAUUGACGCUCAUGCACGAAAGCGUGGGGAGCAAACAGGAUUAGAUACCCUGGUAGUCCACGCCCUAAACGAUGUCUACUAGUUGUCGGGUUUUAAUUAACUUGGUAACGCAGCUAACGCGUGAAGUAGACCGCCUGGGGAGUACGGUCGCAAGAUUAAAACUCAAAGGAAUUGACGGGGACCCGCACAAGCGGUGGAUGAUGUGGAUUAAUUCGAUGCAGCGCGAAAAACCUUACCUACCCUUGACAUGUCAGGAACCUCCGAGAGAUCGGGGGGUGCCCGAAAGGGAGCCUGAACACAGGUGCUGCAUGGCUGUCGUCAGCUCGUGUCGUGAGAUGUUGGGUUAAGUCCCGCAACGAGCGCAACCCUUGUCAUUAGUUGCUACAUUCAGUUGAGCACUCUAAUGAGACUGCCGGUGACAAACCGGAGGAAGGUGGGGAUGACGUCAAGUCCUCAUGGCCCUUAUGGGUAGGGCUUCACACGUCAUACAAUGGUACAUACAGAGGGCCGCCAACCCGCGAGGGGGAGCUAAUCCCAGAAAGUGUAUCGUAGUCCGGAUCGCAGUCUGCAACUCGACUGCGUGAAGUUGGAAUCGCUAGUAAUCGCGGAUCAGCAUGUCGCGGUGAAUACGUUCCCGGGUCUUGUACACACCGCCCGUCACACCAUGGGAGCGGGUUUUACCAGAAGUAGGUAGCUUAACCGCAAGGAGGGCGCUUACCACGGUAGGAUUCGUGACUGGGGUG